GGGGUCGUACUGGUUUCGACCGGGAACGGUUAGUCUCUAACUGCAGUCGAGUGAUGACGUUAUCAUCGAAACAAAAAUAACUAACAAUAGUUAUAUGAGAGCUCCUAGAGCUCAAGCACUCUGCUUAGCUUAAUUUAGCUUCCAAAAUUGGAUCCGACGCCUAGCGCCGGGCAGAGCAUCCCCUAAGGUUUUAUCCUUUCACGCUUAGUCAGGGUGUCAUAACAAAAGGAUAGGUGUUCGGAGUCGAUAAGUUACCGGCACUGAAAACGUUUAUCUCGCACGUUCUAAUUUGUCGAUAUAUGAAGACGUGUUAAAUCACAAUAUCGUCUAAACUGUAGAUGUUAUUGAAGAACCUUCUUGGGACAGGAGUUCAAUUCUCCUCGACUCCACCA
rnacentral:tmRNA from 1 species